rnacentral:rRNA from 1 species
UACGUAGGGUGCAAGCGUUGUCCGGAAUUAUUGGGCGUAAAGGGCUCGUAGGCGGUCCGUCACGUCGGGAGUGAAAUCCUGGGGCUUAACCCCAGAACUGCUUCCGAUACGGGCAGACUAGAGGUAGGUAGGGGAGAUUGGAAUUCCUGGUGUAGCGGUGAAAUGCGCAGAUAUCAGGAGGAACACCGGUGGCGAAGGCGGGUCUCUGGGCCGAUACUGACGCUGAGGAGCGAAAGCGUGGGGGAGCAAACAGG